UACACUACACGCUAUACRUCCACGCGUGGCCCCUUUUUUUUUCUUCACAAUAUCGUUUCAAGUAAUCAAGCGCAAAGCAUAAUAUUCUUGACGUGUAGUGUUAUUACUUAUUAUAAUAUGUGUACAAUUGUACAGGUAUAAUGAAAUAAUGUAAUUCUACCAGUAAGUACUCCCAUGUAUCGUCCAUAACGGUUACAUAGGGUCGAUGCCAUAAGUUCGUAGAAUAUGCGUGCAAGUAUAUUAUUAAGUACAUAUAAGUGUUUUUUUACUUCGACAAUAAUGUUAUGAGUGCGAUUAUGACUGAUCGUCUUUUUUUGUCCUGUAUUCGUAACGGCCAACGAGUUGAAUUCCAAUUUCAACACUGAUAAAUAUUACACCAUACAACUGUGUAUAAUAUCGUUAUGAAACCAAACAGAUGAACAAUAUAGGUAAAAAUUUAUCCAGAUAGCUACUAAACCAUUAACCAGGUGCCAAUGAUGUUAAAACUUGUACUUCAAGUAUUUCUGUGAUAAGCACUCAACCCAAUAAUACAUUAGUGAAAUCAAUUUAUAAUAAUUAAUAAUCAUCAUUAUAGUAUAUGUCCAUGAAGAUCAAUAAUAAUAUUCAGGUUGAUGGAAAAAUUCCAUUUGAUAUGCAGUCACAAUGUUCAACGACUGUACAUUUUAUUCAACAGUUAAGAUGACUAGAGCUUUAUACUCUAUCCAAAAUAAGAAUGCAUCUCUAUAUAGUAUCGGAAUGAAACGCAAGACGAUGGUCCAGAACUCCAGCUAUAGCUGAGUAUAAUGGCCCUGUGAUUGGUGGCUAUUUAUCGGCAGUCAACAACAACACAAUUGCCGCAAAGCAUACAGGGCCUGUGGUCCUGCAUGCAUGCGCGAAUUUCGACCGGUUACCAUCUGUCGCCUGGUGCUUUCUUAUUAUGGAUAGAGUAAAUAUAAAAUGUAUUUUAAUCAACAAAAGUCAAAAAAUAUGUACAAAAUCUAUGUUGAACUUGAUUUACACUAGUAAAAUACAUUUUAUACCACAUUAAACAACUGAUUUAAAGUUUCAACUAAUUGAAACUUGAGCAAACAAAACAAAAAAUAAAUAAUAUCAUUUAAGUCAUUAACAA